UACGGAGGGGGCUAGCGUUGUUCGGAAUUACUGGGCGUAAAGCGCACGUAGGCGGCCUGUUAAGUCGGGGGUGAAAUCCUGGGGCGCAACCUCAGAAUUGCCUCCGAUACUGGCAGUCUCGAGUGCGGGAGAGGUGAGUGGAAUUCCCAGUGUAGAGGUGAAAUUCGUAGAUAUUGGGAAGAACACCAGUGGCGAAGGCGGCUCGCUGGCCCGUAACUGACGCUGAGGUGCGAAAGCGUGGGGAGCAAACAGG
rnacentral:rRNA from 1 species